AAUCCAUGUUGUAGGCAAUGUCGAAUCAAAUCUUUAUAACUUUCCCAUACUUUAUAGAGUGAUUCAAAGUCAUGUUGCUUGAAUUGACCAAUCUCGCUCCUGAGUUA